rnacentral:rRNA from 1 species
CAUGCAAGUCGAACGGUGAAGCAGAGCUUGCUCUGUGGAUCAAUGGCGAACGGGUGAGUAACACGUGAGCAACCUGCCCUGGACUCUGGGAUAAGCGCUGGAAACGGCGUCUAAUACUGGAUAUGAGAUGCGAUCGCAUGGUCGUGUUUGGAAAGAUUUUUCGGUCUGGGAUGGGCUCGCGGCCUAUCAGCUUGUUGGUGAGGUAAUGGCUCACCAAGGCGUCCACGGGUAGCCGGCCUGAGAGGGUGACCGGCCACACUGGGACUGAGACACGGCCCAUACUCCUACGGGAGGCAGCAGUGGGGAAUAUUGCACAAUGGGCGAAAGCCUGAUGCAGCAACGCCGCGUGAGGGAUGACGGCCUUCGGGUUGUAAACCUCUUUUGGUAGGGAAGAAGCCUUCGGGUGACGGUACCUGCAGAAAAAGCGCCGGCUAACUACGUGCCAGCAGCCGCGGUAAUACGUAGGGCGCAAGCGUUAUCCGGAAUUAUUGGGCGUAAAGAGCUCGUAGGCGGUCUGUCGCGUCUGCUGUGAAAUCCCGAGGCUCAACCUCGGGCUUGCAGUGGGUACGGGCAGACUAGAGUGCGGUAGGGGAGAUUGGAAUUCCUGGUGUAGCGGUGGAAUGCGCAGAUAUCAGGAGGAACACCGAUGGCGAAGGCAGAUCUCUGGGCCGUUACUGACGCUGAGGAGCGAAAGGGUGGGGAGCAAACAGGCUUAGAUACCCUGGUAGUCCACCCCGUAAACGUUGGGAACUAGUUGUGGGGUCCUUUCCACGGAUUCCGUGACGUAGCUUACGCAUUAAGUUCCCCGCCUGGGGAGUACGGCCGCAGGGCUAAAACUCAAAGGAAUUGACGGGGACCCGCACAAGCGGCGGAGCAUGCGGAUUAAUUCGAUGCACGCGAAGAACCCUCACCCAAGGCUUGACAUACACCAGUACGGGCCAGAAAUGCUCAACUCUUUGGACACUGGUGAACAGGUGGUGCAUGGCUCGUCG